rnacentral:rRNA from 1 species
CCUACGGGGUGCAGCAGUGGGGAAUAUUGGACAAUGAGCGAGAGCCUGAACCAGCGAAGUCGCGUGCGCGAGUACUGCCCUAUGGGUUGUAAACCUCUUUUGUCGGGGAGAAAAAGCCGGACGUGUCCGGCUUUGAGAGUACCCGUAGCAAAUGCAUCGGCUAACUCUGUGCCAGCAGCCGCGGUAAUACGGAGGCUGCGAGCGGUAUCCGGAUUUAGUGGGUUUAAGGGGUGCGCAGGCGGGUUUUUAAGUCAGCGGUAAAAUCGUGGGGCUCAACCCCAUCCAGCCGUUGAUACUGGGGAUCUAGAGUGUGCGAGAGGUAUGCGGAAUGCGUGGUGUAGCGGUGAAAUGCAUAGAUAUAACGCAGAACCCCGAUUGCGAAGGCAGCAUACCGGUGCACAACUGACGCUCAGGCACGAAAGCGUGGGUAUCGAACAGGAUUAGAUACCCUUGUAGUC